UACGUAGGGUGCGAGCGUUAAUCGGAAUUACUGGGCGUAAAGCGUGCGUAGACGGUUAUUUAAGUCAGGUGUGAAAGCCCAGGGCUCAACCUUGGAAUUGCAUUUGAGACUGAAUAGCUAGGGUGCGGAAGAGGGAAGCGGAAUUUCCGGUGUAGCGGUGAAAUGCGUAGAUAUCGGAAGGAACACCAGUGGCGAAAGCGGCUUCCUGGUCCAGCACCGACGUUCAGGCACGAAAGCGUGGGGAGCAAACAGG
rnacentral:rRNA from 1 species